UACGUAGGGAGGAAGCGUUGUUCGGAUUUACUGGGCGUAAAGGGCGCGUAGGCGGCGCGGUAAGUCACUUGUGAAAUCUCUGAGCUUAACUCAGAACGGCCAAGUGAUACUGCAGUGCUAGAGUGCAGAAAGGGCAAUCGGAAUUCUUGGUGUAGCGGUGAAAUGCGUAGAUAUCAAGAGGAACACCUGAGGCGAAGGCGGGUUGCUAGGCUGACACUGACGCUGAGUGCGCGAAAGCCAGGGGAGCAAACGGG
rnacentral:rRNA from 1 species